UUAAGCGACUAAGCGUACACGGUGGAUGCCCUGGCAGUCAGAGGCGAUGAAGGACGUGCUAAUCUGCGAAAAGCGUCGGUAAGGUGAUAUGAACCGUUAUAACCGGCGAUGUCCGAAUGGGGAAACCCAGUGCAAUUCGUUGCACUAUCGUUAACUGAAUACAUAGGUUAACGAGGCGAACCGGGGGAACUGAAACAUCUAAGUACCCCGAGGAAAAGAAAUCAACCGAGAUUCCCCCAGUAGCGGCGAGCGAACGGGGAGCAGCCCAGAGUCUGAAUCAGCUUGUGUGUUAGUGGAACGGUCUGGAAAGUCCGACGGUACAGGGUGAUAGUCCCGUACACCAAAAUGCACAGGCUGUGAACUCGAAGAGUAGGGCGGGACACGUGGUAUCCUGUCUGAAUAUGGGGGGACCAUCCUCCAAGGCUAAAUACUCCUGACUGACCGAUAGUGAACCAGUACCGUGAGGGAAAGGCGAAAAGAACCCGGCGAGGGGAGUGAAAAGAACCUGAAACCGUGUACGUACAAGCAGUGGGAGCACCUUCGGGUGUGACUGCGUACCUUUGUAUAAUGGGUCAGCGACUUAUAUUCUGUAGCAAGGUUAACCGUAUAGGGGAGCCGCAGGAAACCGAGUCUUAACUGGGCGUUAAGUUGCAGGGUAUAGACCCGAAACCCGGUGAUCUAGCCAUGGGCAGGUUGAAGGUUGGGUAACACUAACUGGAGGACCGAACCGACUAAUGUUGAAAAAUUAGCGGAUGACUUGUGGCUGGGGUGAAAGGCCAAUCAAACCGGGAGAUAGCUGGUUCUCCCCGAAAGCUAUUUAGGUAGCGCCUCGUGAACUCAUCUUCGGGGUAGAGCACUGUUUCGGCUAGGGGGUCAUCCCGACUUACCAACCCGAUGCAAACUACGAAUACCGAAGAAUGUUAUCACGGGAGACACACGGCGGGUGCUAACGUCCGUCGUGAAGAGGGAAACAACCCAGACCGCCAGCUAAGGUCCCAAAGUCAUGGUUAAGUGGGAAACGAUGUGGGAAGGCACAGACAGCCAGGAUGUUGGCUUAGAAGCAGCCAUCAUUUAAAGAAAGCGUAAUAGCUCACUGGUCGAGUCGGCCUGCGCGGAAGAUGUAACGGGCUAAACCAUGCACCGAAGCUGCGGCAGCGACACUAUGUGUUGUUGGGUAGGGGAGCGUUCUGUAAGCCUGCGAAGGUGUGCUGUGAGGCAUGCUGGAGGUAUCAGAAGUGCGAAUGCUGACAUAAGUAACGAUAAAGCGGGUGAAAAGCCCGCUCGCCGGAAGACCAAGGGUUCCUGUCCAACGUUAAUCGGGGCAGGGUGAGUCGACCCCUAAGGCGAGGCCGAAAGGCGUAGUCGAUGGGAAACAGGUUAAUAUUCCUGUACUUGGUGUUACUGCGAAGGGGGGACGGAGAAGGCUAUGUUAGCCGGGCGACGGUUGUCCCGGUUUAAGCAUGUAGGCUGGUUGUCCAGGCAAAUCCGGAUAAUCAAGGCUGAGGUGUGAUGACGAGGCACUACGGUGCUGAAGUAACAAAUGCCCUGCUUCCAGGAAAAGCCUCUAAGCAUCAGGUAACAUCAAAUCGUACCCCAAACCGACACAGGUGGUCAGGUAGAGAAUACCAAGGCGCUUGAGAGAACUCGGGUGAAGGAACUAGGCAAAAUGGUGCCGUAACUUCGGGAGAAGGCACGCUGGUGUGUAGGUGAAGCCCCUGCGGGUGGAGCUGAGACCAGUCGAAGAUACCAGCUGGCUGCAACUGUUUAUUAAAAACACAGCACUGUGCAAACACGAAAGUGGACGUAUACGGUGUGACGCCUGCCCGGUGCCGGAAGGUUAAUUGAUGGGGUUAUCCGUAAGGAGAAGCUCUUGAUCGAAGCCCGGUAAACGGCGGCCGUAACUAUAACGGUCCUAAGGUAGCGAAAUUCCUUGUCGGGUAAGUUCCGACCUGCACGAAUGGCGUAAUGAUGGCGGGCUGUCUCCACCCGAGACUCAGUGAAAUUGAACUCGCUGUGAAGAUGCAGUGUACCCGCGGCAAGACGGAAAGACCCCGUGAACCUUUACUAUAGCUUGACACUGAACAUUGAGCCUUGAUGUGUAGGAUAGGUGGGAGGCUUUGAAGCGUGGACGCCAGUCUGCGUGGAGCCAACCUUGAAAUACCACCCUUUAAUGUUUGAUGUUCUAACGUUGGCCCCUUACCGGGGUUGCGGACAGUGUCUGGUGGGUAGUUUGACUGGGGCGGUCUCCUCCCAAAGCGUAACGGAGGAGCACGAAGGUUAGCUAAUCUGGUCGGACAUCAGGAGGUUAGUGCAAUGGCAUAAGCUAGCUUGACUGCGAGCGUGACGGCGCGAGCAGGUGCGAGGGUCAUAGUGAUCCGGUGGUUCUGAAUGGAAGGGCCAUCGCUCAACGGAUAAAAGGUACUCCGGGGAUAACAGGCUGAUACCGCCCAAGAGUUCAUAUCGACGGCGGUGUUUGGCACCUCGAUGUCGGCUCAUCACAUCCUGGGGCUGAAGUAGGUCCCAAGGGUAUGGCUGUUCGCCAUUUAAAGUGGUACGCGAGCUGGGUUUAGAACGUCGUGAGACAGUUCGGUCCCUAUCUGCCGUGGGCGCUGGAGAAUUGAGGGGGGCUGCUCCUAGUACGAGAGGACCGGAGUGGACGCAUCACUGGUGUUCGGGUUGUCAUGCCAAUGGCACUGCCCGGUAGCUAAAUGCGGAAGAGAUAAGUGCUGAAAGCAUCUAAGCACGAAACUUGCCCCGAGAUGAGUUCUCCCUGAGACUUUAAGUCUCCUGAAGGAACGUUGAAGACGACGACGUUGAUAGGCCGGGUGUGUAAGCGCAGCGAUGCGUUGAGCUAACCGGUACUAAUGAACCGUGAGGCUUAACCU
rnacentral:rRNA from 1 species